UAGGGAAUAUUGGGCAAUGGACGCAAGUCUGACCCAGCCAUGCCGCGUGCAGGAUGACGGUCCUAUGGAUUGUAAACUGCUUUUUUAUGGGAAGAAACCCCUGGAUGCGUCCGGGGCUGACGGUACCAUAAGAAUAAGGAUCGGCUAACUUCGUGCCAGCAGCCGCGGUAAGACGAAGGAUUCAAGCGUUGUCCGGAUUUACUGGGUUUAAAGGGUGCGUAGGCGGAAAAUUAAGUCAGUGGUGAAAUCCCGCAGCUCAACUGCGGAACUGCCAUUGAAACUGGUUUUCUUGAAUACAGUGGAGGUAGAUGGAAUAUAACAUGUAGCGGUGAAAUGCUUAGAUAUGUUAUAGAACACCGAUUGCGAAGGCAGUCUGCUACACUGUGAUUGACGCUGAGGCACGAAAGCGUGGGGAGCAAACAGG
rnacentral:rRNA from 1 species